rnacentral:rRNA from 1 species
AUGAGAACCUUGGAGGGUAUGGUUUGUAUGAAUUCCUCAGAGGUAGAAACAACAAGAGCCACUGAAGAUAAUAUAAUUGUUCCAUACGGUUCCUGCUUGUAUGAUGUUGACAACCUUGAAGAAGAUGAAAUCGAAGAGGAUGAAGUCUUACGUUUGGGAGGAAACAGUCCAAUCACUUGGACAGACAGGCCAAAAGCAAAUCUCCUGCUGCAUGAUCUUCAAGGUUGGAGGGCUGAACAAGGGCACCAAAAAGUGCCAGUUGCAAAUUGGCAACAUGGUAAACAUGUCGCCACAGAGUCAAGUGGCACUAGUGGAUGGAACCAGAGCAGUUCUACCAUGAAAGUUUAUCAGAGAAGGCAACGUAAUAGUAAUUGGAGCUCAGAUGCAACACAGCAAGAUGGUAAACCGAGUUGGAACAAAGCAUAUGUGGCAGGCCCGAGCAACUUUGCCAUUACAGGGCCAUCAUGUGGUACUAGUGGAUGGAACCAGAGCAGUUCUACCACGAAAGUUUAUAAGAGAAGGCAAUUUGAUAGUAAUUGGAGCUCAGAUGCAACACAACAAGAUGGUAACCCAAGUUGGAAGAAAGCAAAUGUGGCAGGCCAGGGCAACUUUGCCAUUACAGGGCCAUCUAGCUCUGGUGGAUGGAGUAGAAAGACCAAUAAUCUUGGUAGAGGUCGAGGUGGUGGUAGAGGUGCAGUGUGGAAAUCAGAGGGAUCACACCGUGGAGGUAACAGUAGGUGGAAAGCCCAAAGAGCCAAUACCACAAGCGCCCCGAACUUCCACAUUUCAGGACCAUCCAACUUUGGUGGACGGAACAUCAAGACCGGCAAUCUUGGCCCAUGCCGUGGCAGAGGACCAGCAUGGAGAUCAAACGGACCAAACCGGGGAGGUAGCAAUGGUGGACCAAGAGGGAGUUCAAAUUUUACACUAGCGGAACAGCAGAUACAUGCACAAGUUGAUCCAAUCAUGAAGGAAGUAAAGAGGAUCAUCCGUGAAUCAAGGUAUAAUAUGUAG